rnacentral:rRNA from 1 species
UACGGGGGGAGCAAACGUUGUUCGGAAUUACUGGGCGUAAAGGGCGCGUAGGCGGUCCUGUAAGUGGUGUGUGAAAUCCGAUGGCUCAACCAUCGAGCUGCGCUCCAUACUGCAGGACUUGAGUACAGCAGAGGAAAGUGGAAUUCCCGGUGUAGCGGUGAAAUGCGUAGAUAUCUGGAGGAACACCGGUGGCGAAGGCGGCAUCCUGGACCGACAUUGACGCUGAGGAGCGAAAGCCAGGGGAGCAAACGGG